UUUUCGUCCAAUUAUCAGAGAUUUUUUGAGACGCUGCUGCAUCGAUGUUCCUGGAACGAUGUGCUCGCGUGUGACAUCCUAGCUUCUUUCUAAGAUACGAGUUUCAUUAGCUAGUUACGUAUAAUUUCACUUGCUGAUUGCUAGAAUCAUCUCGAAUUUAACAAAGCAGCUGUUACGUUUCGCUAUUUGAUGAGAUAAUUUAUACUGAACAAGCUACUUGACCAUAUCCUAAAUAGAGUUACAUGAAGGUGUUGAGUUUUUUGUUCGGCGCUACAAUUACAUGUGACCUUCAGCCGGUACGAUCAAGCGAAGUAUCGGAUCGCCUGCGCAGCGGUUGCGAGAAUCUGAUCAAGUGCCCAAAAUAAGCCCGUGCUUCAAUGUCUUCAGGGGUUGUAAACACCCAUACGUGAGGACGGCACGAGCAUACUGCACUGGGAAGGACGACCGGACUUUCAGCACCAAGCGAAGUGUGUUGAACCUCUAGUUUCGUACCUAGACCCCCUCGCUAAGAGUCUCUGGCAGUCACUAAUGUCGCCAGCACAUUAUAUCCUAAUCGAACCGAAGGAUUAAUGAAGAAAUGAGCCGGUCCUUGAUGCCCAGUUUUAUACUUUACAUCGUAUUAGCAGAGAAUGUAAAGCCUUGCCUUUAUAUGCUACCCAGCUGUGCUUGAUUUGUCGUUAACCUGACGAACCAUUUAUCGGGCUUGAAACACUCUCACUUCGAAGCCUACCUAACGUCUGUCAGCGGUGUAAGUGUAUUCCCCGAUAGAAUAGUGCGGUCUGCAAAUACCCCACCAUUGCGCGGCUACAAGGAUACGGACAGAGUAAUGCGAACUGUGGUAGAAAGCUACUUCCUACGCCACUGCAUGACCCGCCCACGAUCUUUCACAUGUUCUUGUAGCUAGUUUUUUUUCUAUAUUAUUAAUUAUGGUCACGUUAUAUAUGCUCUAAUGACGUCGCGAUGGCCUCUCAAGCGUAAUCAAACGGACGCGACAUGAUUUCGAUGCCCGUGUGGUUUUAGC